UGAAAAAGUCACAGUGCGCCAAAGCUGGGUGCUUCUGGAGGGAGACAGGGCUGGUGGAGUGCCAGGUCGCUUGCCACCGCUGUGCUGUCACAACUGCACACUGGUCACUCUGGCUAACAUGCCAUUUCCAUUCAGAAGCCAGCAUCUGCUUCAGUUGUACGUGGCCGCUGUCCAGAGCUGAGUCGGGAGUGGCAGGCUACAGGUGUCUGUCCUGCCUCUCGGUUGCUCAGUUAUGCAUCUCAUCAGCAUUUCCUGUGUCAGUACUUGGUACUGCUUGUGAGGCUGAGAAGUCCACGAUCAAGGUGACAACAGCUUUGGUGUCUGCUGAGGGCCUGAUCCCUGCUGCAGAGGCGGAGUCUUCUUGCUGUGUCCUCCAUGAUGGAAGGCGGUCACUUGUUAGUGAACCUUGGAAAGAUUUGGCAAAUUGACUCGGUGCUUGUCCAAAGACAGACUCAGCAUCAUCUUCCGGAAGCUCUAAGAAAAACAGAAAAGGUGGAAUUGUAUCAGAAUCUGUGAGCACAGUGGCAACAUGUGUGUUAUUCUGCGGUGUGUGCGGCUCUGCUCUGGCUAACUGUUUCUCUAGAAGUGACUGGGAGAUAAUCUUUGCACCUUUGGGGUUAUGGUUUCAGUUGUUCCCUUGCACUAAUGAUCUCUUUUUGCCACUAAAGAAAACCAAAACCAACCAAUGGUAUCUCAGAAAUAUCAGAGUUUUGGUUCAUUUUGAAAAGAUUAUUGAUUUAUUUGAAAAGCAGAAUGAUAGAGAAGGAGAGACACAGAGAGAUCUUCCAUUCGCUGGCUCUCUUCCCAUAGGCAAUAGUCUGGACUGUACCAGGCCAAAGCCAGGAACCGGGAACUCCAUCUGGGACCCCCACCUGGGUAGCAGGAACCCAAACACUUGAGCCAUCAUCUGCUGCCUCCCAGGCACACUACCAGGAAGCUGGAUUGGAAGCAGAGGCAGGACUUGAAACCAGGCCCUCUGAUAUGGGAUGCAGUGACUUGACCCGCUGUGCCAUAGCACCCACCCCAGGGCCUUUCUUUUUACCCAGCUUUGUGUUUUCUUCCUUGCUUUCAUUUUUUUUCAUUUUCAGUGAAAGUGAGACAACUUUUAUAGGAGGUUUUCCUACAGUAAAUUGCCCCUGGGAUAAAAAAUAUUACAAAUAUUUGAGAACAGUGGUUUCAAGAGAAUUUGCUCCAAUUUAGGUAGUAAAAAAGAACAAAUCCCAGUAUGAAACGUGGGAUGAGCUUGUCCUUCUAGUGAUUAACCUGUGGGGAACGGAGGACCUCUGGGAGGGAGUAAGAAGCAAUUCCCAUAACAUGAAAACAGAAUUCUUUUGACAUCGACCCAGUGUGUGAAUCUGUCAAAAGUAAGUCUCAGGGGCCCGGCGCCACAGCGCAGUAGGUUAAUCCUCCUCGCGAGGUGCCAGCAUCCCAUAUGGGCGCCAGUUCUAGUCCUGGCUGCCCUUCUUCCAAUCCAACUCUCUGCUGUGGCCUGGGAAAACAAUGGAGGAUGGCCGAAGUGCUUUGGCUCCUGCACCCGCUUGGGAGACCGGGAGGAAGCUUCUGGCUUCUGGCUCCUGGCUUCAGAUCAGCACAGCUCCAGCCAUUGCAGCCAUCUGGGGAGCGAACCAGUAGAGGGAGGACCUUUCUCUCUGUCUCUCCUUCUUACUGUGUGUAACUCUGCUUUUCAAGUAAAUAAAUAAAAUAAAAUAAAAAUAAGUGUUGGGGCCAGUGUUGUGGCACAGAGGGUAAAGCUGCCUCCUGGGACCCCAGCAUCCCAUGUGGGUACCAGUUUGCAUCCCAGACGCUCAAUUUCCUAACCAGCUCCCUACUAAUGGCCUGGGAAAAGCAGCAGAAGAUGGCUCAAGUGCCUUGGCCCAUGCCACUCAUGUGGGAGACCCAGAAGAAGCUUCUGGCUCCUGGGUUUGGCCUGGCCGAGCUCUAGCUGUUACAGCCAUUUGGGGGAGUGAACCA